rnacentral:rRNA from 1 species
UACGUAGGGCGCAAGCGUUAUCCGGAAUUAUUGGGCGUAAAGAGCUCGUAGGCGGUUUGUCGCGUCUGCUGUGAAAACUCGGGGCUUAACCCCGGGCCUGCAAGUGGGUGACGGGCAGACUAGAGUGCGGUAGGGGAGACUGGAAUUCCUGGUGGUAGCGGUGAAAUGCGCAGAUAUCAGGAGGAACACCGGUGGCGAAGGCGGGUCUCUGGGCCGUAACUGACGCUGAGGAGCGAAAGCGUGGGGAGCGAACAGG